CAAGUUUGGUUGAACUAAAGAGGACUGCUAAUUACUCAUAUCGCGGCUUGACUCCGCGACAAACUUG
rnacentral:tRNA from 1 species